GUUAAAUCAGGAAAAGCCACUAAAGACAGGUCUUUGAAAUGAAAGCUGAGCUAUUCUGCAAUAGGCUUUUGGCCGAGGACUUUUCUCUGUGCUGCUUCCAUAAGCUAAAUGCCAGAGGGAAUUUGGAUGGAUCGCGGCCCAGAAUCAACCGUUACGGCCUGGUUUCGUCGGAGGUCACGUCCCGUGCCAGAUUUGGAUGAAGAGUGGCCCAAACAGAAGGACACAGCUUCAGUCAGACUCACUUUACAAGGCUGUCAGAGACGCAAGCGUCAGCUGCGAGAAACGAGCACAUGGAGCUGGAGAAAUUUUGUGGGCUUGAUGAACAUCUUCACCGGGUGAGUUGAGUUUAUAUUGAGUCAUCAUUUUUUUAUUGUUUGAUUGAUGAGUCUUAAUAGCUACAUGCCUAAUGCAACACGAAUGUGCAUUAAAAUACAUCAACAAAAAAAGUACUUUAAAAGCUAAGCCUAUGUUUGCGUUUAAACAGAUUUUCUAUCUGUGUGUCAUUGAUUGUUUAUAAAGUUUGAGAAAAGUAAUUGUUUCAUUUUUUACAAAUGUUGUUGUUCUUAUAAAAGGAAAGCUGAGAUUUGCAUUUGAUGUUUUUGUUGAUUGAAAAAGCUCUACAGAGAAAAAUAUUUAAUUCUCAUUUGAGUAUACAUAAUUUAAAAAUCAAAAUAACUUCAGCUCAAAAUUAUCAGUCAGUGUGCACAUAAUAUUUCUGUUAGUAAAUGGACAGAUUUUCCGAAAACUUAUAUAAGAAAUGGUUGCAUUUUAUUUUCUUGCUUGUCAUUUUACAACUAAGGGAAAAGGUAAAAUCAUUAGAAAUGAUGUUGUGUGUGUUUAUGAAUUAUAUUUUGUUGAAGAAUUAUAUGACGAUUUGAAGAUUUGAGUGUCUUUACACUGGUGUGUUUGAAUUAUAUUUUCACACACCUUUAUUCAUCACAUGAGGAAUAAGAUAUUUUUUAAAUUCCCCUUUUUUUUUUCUUUAUUGGAUAUUAUCAGAAAAUAUUGUGGUAUUUGGUUCACCGAAUAUGAAAUAUUAUAUACACUGAAGAUAGUCUGUGACACUAAAGAGGCACUGAAUCAUCUGAUUUAGUUUUUUUAUAUGUAUAUGAAAUUUCUAAUCUUAGUCUGAAAAUAAUAUUUUCUGAUUUAGUGCAAAUAUAUUAGCACAGUUUGUGCAGAACACAAUUUAAAUGCUUAAAUAUGUUUUAAAAUAUCUAAUUAUCUAUAUUUUUACAAUGACAGAGAUAACAGUUAUUAAAAAAUGAUUUCUUAAAUGACUAUUUAGUGUAGUUAGUAAAGUUAAAUAUGAGUGAUCUAGUGGGAAAAAAAGCAUAAU
ensembl:lncRNA